rnacentral:lncRNA from 1 species
GUUUUGUUGCAUUACCCUUUCGUCGCUUUGUCGUUUUUUUUAGGUUGAUUGCUCCGUUACUUGAGUAAUUUGUUUAUCUUUUUAUUUCAUUUUUUACUUUUUUUGCGUUCAUAUAUUUUUAUAAUGUAAAAAAAAAAAAAAAGCAUAGAAAAAAAAUAAAUUGUUAUUAUAUGAGCUUAAUAAUUUAAGUGAGUAUAUAUAUAUAUAUAUAUAUAUACAUAUAUAUACUGAUUAUUAUAUAUUGUACUCUUAGUGAUUAGAAUGGGUGCCAGCAAGCAUGAAAGUUUGCAUGUGAAUAAAGGAACAGGGAUAAGUAAAAAUGUAAAGGGUAGUGUUCGUGUUAGUAAUAGUUGUAAAACACGGGUGACGAAAGGAGUAGUGACAAGGCUAAGUGAAAGGAUUGCUUCCAUUAAUUGUGUUACAAACGUAACUUCGACAGGUUCGACAGUGAUAUCUACAAAAGUGACAGGAACAACAUCAACAGACUUAACAACACCUACAGCUGUAACUGUUACGGCAGCCAAAACUGCAGAUGUUAUGGCAGCCACAACUGCAGCUGUUACGGCAGCCAAAACUACAACUGCUACAGUAGUCACAAAUGGAACAACUACAGUAGCCAAAAAUGGAACAACCACAGUAGCCAAAAAUGGAACAACUACAGUAGCCACAAUUGGAACUACUACAGCAGACACGAUUGGAACUGCUACGGCAGCCACAAAUGGAACAACUACAGCAGCCACAAAUGCAAUUGUUACGACAUCCACAAAUGCAACUGAUGUGACAUCCUUAAAUGCAACUGAUGCGACAUCUACAAAUGCAACUGAUGUGACAUCCUUAAAUGCAAAUGAUGCGAAAACCACAAAUGUAACUACUACAAAUGUAGUAAUAGAAAAUAGAAUGACGAUUGGAGCUGUGAGUGCCCCCAAUGAAGGUAUAGAUGUUGCUGCUACUGAUAAUAUGACCCCUCCUCAACUAAUCCACAGUUCUAGUUUUACUCCCAAAGGAAAUAACAAAAUAAUAACAAAAGGAAUCGGUUCAUUAAAAAGUAAAGAAAAAGGAUAUAGCAAUAGCAGCCUUGCUAAUAGUCACAUAAAUAGUAGUGGUAGUAAACAUACAAAAGGUUGCGUGAACAAGGUUCGGAGUACUGGUAAAUCAAUAAAUGCAUCAUCCAAAUUUAAUGACUCUUAUGCAUUAAUAUUUCCCAAUGC